AUUGAACGCUGGCGGCAGGCCUAACACAUGCAAGUCGAGCGAGCGGCGGACGGGUGAGUAAUGUCUGGGAAACUGCCUGAUGGAGGGGGAUAACUACUGGAAACGGUAGCUAAUACCGCAUACCAUGAGCUGUGCCCAGAUGGGAUUGGCUGGUAGGUGGGGUAACGGUUCACCUAGGCGACGAUCCCUAGCGGGUCUGAGAGGAUGACCACCCACACUGGAACUGAGACACGGUCCAGACUCCUACGGGAGGCAGCAGGGGGGAAUAUUGCACAAUGGGCGCAAGCCUGAUGCAGCCAUGCCGCGUGUGUGAAGAAGGCCUUCGGGUUGUAAAGCACUUUCAGCGGGGAGGCGUUACCCGAAGAAGAAGCACCGGCUAACUCCGUGCCAGCAGCCGCGGUAAUUC
rnacentral:rRNA from 1 species